UACGGGGGGGGCAAGCGUUGUUCGGAAUUACUGGGCGUAAAGGGCUCGUAGGCGGCCAACUAAGUCAGACGUGAAAUCCCUCGGCUUAACCGGGGAACUGCGUCUGAUACUGGAUGGCUUGAGAUGCCUAGAGGAGAGUGGAAUUCCCGGUGUAGUGGUGGAAUGCGUAGAUAUCGGGAGGAACACCAGUGGCGAAAGCGGCUCUCUGGGGGCGAUCUGACGCUGAUGCGCGAAAGCGUGGGGAGCAAACCGG
rnacentral:rRNA from 1 species